rnacentral:lncRNA from 1 species
CCGCGGGCCCCCGCUGGCGCCGAGCCCCCGGUGCCGCCGGCGCCGCGCGCAAAUUACAUCUGAGCCGUCUUUCAAGCCGCCGGCCGCUUUCAAAACGGGGCUUUGAAAGGCCGGGCUCCCCCGGCUCCGCGCUGGAGGACCGAGCCGGGCUUGUCGGGGAGGCCGGGCCGGCGCGCACGUGCCCGCCUCUGCGGCCCCCGCGCGCGCUGCCAGCGAGCAUGAAAGCGAGGAGACGGUCUGUGAUCCCGCCUUACCGAGGGACCCAAUCUGGGAGGCAAAGAACAGACAGAUACAUGGACCUGUGGUUCUCCCAUUAUCUGAAUCCUGUUCCUGAUGACACAGGUUGGAGCAAAGCCUGCAGUGAGACGAGCCAAAGGCACCAAGCUGGAUGUCCUAGCUGCUGCCUCUCCCUUUACACCACGGUGAAAGCUCUGCCUAUAUGUUUUUAG